rnacentral:rRNA from 1 species
UACGGAGGGUGCGAGCGUUAAUCGGAAUUACUGGGCGUAAAGCGCACGUAGGCGGUCAGGCAAGUCGGGUGUGAAAGCCCUGGGCUCAACCUGGGAAUUGCAUUCGAAACUAUCUGACUCGAGUAUGGGAGAGGGAAGCGGAAUUUCCGGUGUAGCGGUGAAAUUCGUAGAUAUCGGGAGGAACACCGGUGGCGAAGGCGGCGACCUGGGACGAUACUGACGCUGAGGUGCGAAAGCGUGGGGAGCAAACAGG